GGGUGGCAAUGGUGGCACCUCCUCCAGAUUCUCAGGGAGUAUGCCAAAGCUAGGAAAGACGGAAUCAAAUGGAUUCCUUGACAACAUAGCAUCAUUAAGUUCUGGACCUGCUGGUUGCAUUUGAAGUUCUUGGCCUGAAGGAGCAUCUUGUUUGGAAGAAGCACCAAGGCAUCUUUUUUUAUCUAUUUCACUCACAGUCUGUAUCUCUUCAAACUGCAGAUUUGAUGACUUAGGACUAGUCUUAUCUGCUUGCAGACAUCCCUCAUCGAGUUGAUCAGAUUGCAAUUCCACUGUCGACUCUGAAGGAACUCCAGGCUCUGCAAGGU
rnacentral:misc_RNA from 1 species